CAAUUUACCGUGAAGUUGGGAACAACCUCGAGAAAUCAAGGCUAAUACCGGAUGUGGUCCCAGGAUGGCAUCAUUCUGGGAUUAAAGCUGGGGACCCGCAAGGGCCUGGCGCUUCACGAUAAGCCCGCGGCCUAUCAGCUAGUUGGUGAGGUAACGGCUCACCAAGGCAAAGACGGGUAGCUGGUCUGAGAGGACGAUCAGCACACUGGAACUGAGACACGGUCCAG
rnacentral:rRNA from 1 species